rnacentral:rRNA from 1 species
GGGGUCAAGGGUUGUUCGGAUUUAAUUGGCGUAAAGAGAUCGUAGGCGGUUCAACAAGUCAGUCGUAAAAGUUUAGGGCUCAACCCUAAAAUCUCGAUCGAUACUUUGUGUUUAGGAUACGGUAGAGGUGAAGGGAAUUCCUAGUGUAGGGGUGAAAUGCGUAGAUAUUCGGAGGAACACCACCUGCGAAGGCAGCUCCCUGGACCGUGAUUGACGCCGAGGAGCGAAAGAAAGGGGAGCAAACCGGAUU